ACGUGCUCGGCACGUUUGCUUUGAUUGAAGAAGAAGAGGAAGGGUUCCGUCUGCAUUCAUCGGCGAGAGAAGAGACGGAGAAGAAAUAAGGAAGAGAAGAAGGAAGAGGAUGAGGUCCGUGAUGGAGUUCGCAGAGAACCUGAUCCUGCGGAUGAUGGAGGAAUCGAGAAGGAGGGACGAGGCGCAGUGGGAGCAUAUCUACGCGAUGCGGAAGCGGUGCGGGAAGGUCAAGGCCAACUGAAGCCUCCCCGUCCGCCCUACGGCUUCUGGACCUUCGACCGCUUCAACUCCCAGAUCAGCCAGGUCCCCGGUUGCCGCGAUCCCGACGACGACCUCCUCCUCGACCAGCCCUCAGACUUCCCUCCGUCUUCCUCUCCCCCCAAAUGAUCCGAUCCCAUCCAUCCAUCUGUUCAAUCCCCGCUGAUCAGGUCUUUUCUUACCCUUGGUGACAAUUGUUGGGUAGAAGCCGAUAAGAAGGUUCACUCAAAUUGGGGAAAGCUUGAACUACUUGCUUGGUCUACGAUGACAGAUGUGUGUGCAUAAUAAUAUGACCCAGUUGUGGUGAACCAUGUUUUGUGCUUCCGAAGGUUUUCUACUUUUGGAUUCAAUUUCCAAUUAAGUACAUUUGUUUGGCUGCAGUCAAAAAAACAAGAACUUCUCUGCUUCCACUGAAGAUUCCUUUGUCUACUUCACUGGUUGUUACGAGUUGGACUUACCUUGGAUGCUGCUGGUAGAUACCACACACAGUGCAUUAGGAGUAUGGAAGGAGGAAACAACCAAGAUGAAGAAGAAGAAGAAAAUGGGGAUAAUCAACUAUUAAAUUAGUUUUCAUGCUUUUAUAGUUGAGCCAAUGACUUCAAUCUGCAUCAAUUUGGGGUGUGCUUAGUGGUGCAUAGUACUCACAUAGAUCACUUGCUAUAGUGGCAGAAAUCAUGGUUACUUGUAAAGCAGGCAUUGAUGUUUUCUUGAGAUGAUACAUCCAUGUCCAUGAGUUGUAAGAUUAUAUUGUCUAAACCUUGUGCAUGAUAAAAAAAAGAUUGUACCAUUA